rnacentral:pre_miRNA from 1 species
CGAACAUUCGGAUCAUCGGUCUACAGAGUAAUAUCACCCGCUCGGUGGAAGAUUUUCCCUUUGUCGU